rnacentral:rRNA from 1 species
CCUACGGGCGGCAGCAGUGGGGAAUAUUGGACAAUGGGCGAAAGCCUGAUCCAGCCAUGUCGCGUGUGUGAAGAAGGCCUUCGGGUUGUAAAGCACUUUCAGUGGGGAAGAAAGCCUUGGGGCUAAUACCCUCGAGGAAGGACAUCACCCACAGAAGAAGCACCGGCUAACUCCGUGCCAGCAGCCGCGGUAAUACGGAGGGUGCGAGCGUUAAUCGGAAUUACUGGGCGUAAAGCGCGCGUAGGCGGUCUGAUAAGCCGGUUGUGAAAGCCCCGGGCUCAACCUGGGAACGGCAUCCGGAACUGUCAGGCUAGAGUGCAGGAGAGGAAGGUAGAAUUCCCGGUGUAGCGGUGAAAUGCGUAGAGAUCGGGAGGAAUACCAGUGGCGAAGGCGGCCUUCUGGACUGACACUGACGCUGAGGUGCGAAAGCGUGGGUAGCAAACAGGAUUAGAUACCCGAGUAGUC